rnacentral:lncRNA from 1 species
CCUGCCACAGCUUCGGGACGACUGGAUCGCCGCGCCUGGGCCGGAGCGAGCCAUCUGCGGGCACUAUGCAAAGCGGGAGACGGCGCGAGCGGCGCCCGGCUCACACUAGCUCUUCCAGGACGCAGAGAGAACCAUUCUCUGCUUUCAAUAGGACAGAAGAGCUCCUUGGCACUGGAUGCCUCCGGGUCUGGUUGAGAGAGGAAUGGUUAGGAGACUGUUCUGAGGAUACGCAGACAUCAUCCAAAGCUUCCUACAUUCAGAUGAGGACAGAGGUUGGGCCAGAGCUUUGUAAGCUUGUUACCUAAGGAUGGUUCUGACCAUGUAAGCAGAUCACAGAAGCUAUUCACAGAUCAUCAUCAGCCAGAGGUGACUUCUGUUGCUUGCAGCUCAGAAUCCUAGAUGUUUCCGGUGGCACUGAAGAGCCUCUGCUGAAGCUCUAUACCAUUUGCCAUUUACAAAGGGAAAUGAAAUAAUAACGCUGACCAUUUGUGGAGCACAUUCUGUCUGGAGGCAAAGGAUGCCAAGAUGGGAAAGCCACAUAAUGGAAGGAUCCUGGAUUUCAGAGCUGUCACUUGGAGGAGGGGCACCCAGUGAAGGUGUCUUAUCUAACCCACACCAUAUCUUCAUGAAGUGGCCAUAUGGAUUUGAUCCCUAUCCUUCAGAGGUGCUCAGCCUAAGGGAACACGGAUAGUAGAUUAAGCACUGACCAGAGCCAGCCUUGACAAUGUGCUGAUGGCAACCUAGAACAUAAGCAGAGGAGUAUACAGGACAAGAACUUGAUGGUCUCGGGAAAAUGGACAACAUGACUCAGGUGAAAAAGAUUGAUCAUCAGAUGUUUCUUAUGUAUCAACCUGAUAUUUAAAUCCAUGAAGGACAGAGACGACAAAGGCAGGUGGAAUAGAUAGAGAAGAGAUUCAAGGUCUGAGCUCUACAUUACUCAAACUGUUAGAGAUUAGGAAGAAGAGGAAGACCUGGCAAAAGAAUGUCCUGGGAUGUAGAAAGAAAACCAGAAGCUUGUGUUCUCUGGAAACCAAAUGAAGAAAGGGCUUCCAGAAGGACAGACAAAGUGUAGUGUGUCAAAGGCUCCUGAGCAAUCAGAGGAGAGCACAAAGGGGCUCACAGGACUUUGGUAUCUGGAUCACCCAGUGACACUUCCUGAUCACGAGAAACUGUCAGACCAACAGGGGCACUUUCUGAAACCAGCAGUUCUUCAGUGCCCAAAUGCAACCUUGAUGGUUUGAUUUUGGAGGAUGGCAAUUCAUUAACAGCACUCCCCAGUGAUAAAUAUGAAAACCAAUAAAACCCCCCACCCAAGGCAAUCUCUCCCAGCUCCUCGCUUUGAGUAAAGUGAGUAACCUCCAUUUCUGCCAACUCCUGUCUUGUCUGAAGCCACAUUUCCCCAGCAAUGUCACAUAUGCAUUUCUUGAUCCUGGUCAUUUCUCCUCUUGGGAGAUGAAUCAUAAAGAAAAUGAGAUCUGUGUGCCCUGGUGACUAUGGAUGCAAGAGUCUGCUGCCCUGGAGGGAACAGCUGGAAAAGUAGAUGGUGAAGACGUGUGGGGGGGAAACAGUGGAGAAGGCAUCUUUGCAGGGGAUCAAGGUGACAGAGUGAUUAGUUACACUGUUUUGACAUGUGAGAACAGGGGGUUAUAAAAAUGGAUACAGGAAGAGGGAGAGAAAGUAAGGACCAAAACAUGAAGCCAGUCAUGAAUGUUUUUACAUAAAAAGCAGCAGAUUUACGGCAAAUAUGUGAUGUUUCCACAUUUUCUGCCUCUAGUUAGCAGGGGCAGCACAAAGAGCAUUACUGUGGAGCUGAACUUUGGGUAAAAGAUUAACAGCCAGUCCUUUCUCUCCAGUGUCUGCUUCCUUCUGGGCUUGCCCUGGGGGAAAAGGAGGGCUGGCAUGGAUAUGCCUGCAGCCCUCACCCUAGAUGUUCUUCCACGCCUCUCUGUUCAUUCAUUGCUUAGUCAUUCCUCAGGCAUGGAUUGAGACCACUGUGUGCCCAGGACCGACCUGGCCUAGGAUGGACAUAGAGAUGGAAAAGGCACAGGGAGCAGGUGACAGAGACAAAUCAAGGUCAUGGAGAAUAGCAGAGUAAGAUAGAAGAUGAAGGCAGGAGAUGGGGUUCUUGAGAAAGCGAGAGCAGGACUGACCCGUGUCUGCCUCACCUGUUAUUGCUGUAGCCUCUUCUCCUUGGAGUAUCCCUCCUGCUCUUGCAUCACCUUAGGAACUUGGAUCAGAGAGGAAAGUUACGGCCUGGAUAUGUUGUAGUAGGAGGGGACAAACAUGUUUGGAGACAGAAAUGCUUGGGGAGCGGGUGUUUUUGGGGGAUGAGACUUUCCAGGUCUCUCAAUUCACACUAUGUAGGUAGUUCACUGCACAGCUUAAAUAAGAGACAACUCUCCGGAGUGGUUGGCUCUCAUCCAAAAAAUGUGUUUUGGGCCUCAGAUUUCCAACGGAAGGGCUGAAGCGUGACUGGCCUGAUGUCAACUACUGAAGUCCACCUGCCCCUGCCCUAUCAGGUGUGGAAAUGCUGGGGUUCCUCUCUCAGAACCUACUUCCUGAGAUGUCGAAAUAUACCCAAGAGUAUUUCUGGGCCUUCUCCAAUCCGAAACUGUUUAGUUUUUGUGUGUGUGUGCCUACUUGGCCACACUAGAAGACAGAGGUGGCCUGGGUGAAAUGCAGGUUUCUAGAGGCUCUCUGACAAAGCUCAGGCCACCAGCCCCAGGCCAGCCUGUGGGUAGUCCUGGCUGACAGUCACUUCAUACCUCACCUGGGCUUUUUGCCAAAUUCAAAGUGUGUGUAUAUGUGGAGUGCUGGGUUCCCACCACUGACAGUCUGUAAGUCAUUCACUUAGCUCAAUUUGUCUUACUUUCUUCUGAAAUUUCUUCCUUCUUGUUCUUUUUCCCAGGAGAAACCAGGAGAAGGCAGUCCUAGGGCAGUCUCCGGGCCAGCUUUCCCUAAUAAGAAGGCAGAGCUCCUCUUCACCCAGACUUCAGACCUAUAGAGGCAGCCUGGGGUCCCGGGAUGCCCUUGCACUCAGAGAUGUCCCCAGAGUCCUAGGGAAAUGGAGGAUAACUAGGAGGAAGCUGUUCAUGGCUGGCGAUGAGGUCUAUACCUUCUUGUCCGUCUCAGUGCUGUCUGCUAUUGAAUUUUUGUGCAGAUCACAUUAACUUAAAGCCAGUUCUCAAGAAGCUCCCCCUGCCGCCGGCAUAUCCACCAGUUGCUCCCCUUUCCUGCCAUUAAUCAGGGUCUGCUAGUUAGAGAACAAAUUCCUAUUUGUCCAAACAGUUGCCAACACCCCCACCCCAAGGUAGUUAAAUGAGGAUGAAUGGGUCAUUCUUAUUAAAAAAUGACUUAAAUUUCUCAAAUUCUAUUUAUGUUUCUUUUACAUCCCAAUUUUCUAUAGAUUUAGUGACUCCAAAUGAUAAGGUCUCAAGCUCAUAAUAAUUUAUCCCUUGGGUAACACACAAGGCUUGGUGGUAUUUCAGUAAUAUUCAUGACAACAGCAGCUGUCGUGCUAAUAAGGACUGAUGUCACCAGAGCACUUUCUAUGUGCCAAGCAUGGUGCACAACACUUUACAUACAUUAUGUCAUUUAAUUUUCACAAAACCUCACAGAGGUAAAUAUUAUUAUCUUCCUCUGCAUAUAAGGAAAUGAAUGUUCGGAAAGAUUAAGUCAACUCACUGAGGUCCCAUCAGUGCUCUUUCAUAUGCCUCUGUUGCAGUCUCAUUGAACUGCUGAAAUCAGAAAAACCUGGAGACCUUGUUAACCUUCAGAUUCCUGGGCCCCAUCUUAGAUGCAGGGAGUCAGACUUCCUGGGAGUGUGGCCCUGGAAUUUUCAUUUGUAAACACAUUCCCCAAGAGACCUGUAUGCACACUAAAGUGGGAGAAUUCACGAUCUCUGGCUUUUGUGAUGUUUUAAACGCACUAUAUAAUUUCAGUAGCAAAAGAAUUGGGCUUUGGGAAGGGAGUGUGUGGUGAACCCUGAAAGCUGAAUGGACUUCCUUCCUGUGGAGGAGCAGUGGGAGAAACUGGAGGCAGAGAGCUGUGUUUCAUUCCUUGAUUGAGCCUUUGUGAGUUAUUUAAUCUCUUUCAGUCUCUAUUUUUUUCAUUUGUAAACCAGGAAGGAUACUUGUAUUUUCCAGGUGGUUGUGAGGUGUGAAAGAGAUGAGAGUAGAACAAAAUUUUAAAAGUUGAAAGCACUCAACAAAUGUAUUUGGUAUUAAUCAUGGGUUUCCCUGGGGCCGAGGAAGCCACCAGCCACCGCAGGCCUGUACACAAUGCCAGCCACCAUGUAUGGAUACGGAGGAGGCAAAAGGACUAGCGAACACUCCCAGGGACUGGAUGUCUUGAAUAUCUGUCCAACUUUCUUGGGAGGGGCCAUUUCUUCUGUAACUCAAAGGAAUUUAUUAUUUUUCAGCCAGGGAGGCAUGCUUUCUAUCUACUGCUAGUACUCCCAGACCAAGCUGUUUCAGUGGGACUGAGGUGUGACUUCUGCCUCGGUUUCAUCCAUCUGUGCAGGGAAGAGAAAAAUGCCUGCACCUCCACGGUCACACCCUCUGUUGGAACCACCUCCUUAAGCCAGAAUUAUUGAAUGUUCUCUAUGUGCCAGAAUUAUUAUUAUCUCAUUUGAUUCUCACAACAAUGCCAUGAAGUCUAUACAGACAUACCUUGGAAAUACAGCGGGUUUGGUUCCAGACCACCGCAAUAAAGCUAAUACCGCAAUAAAAUGGGUCACACGAAUUUUUUGGAUUAGGCUUCGGCUUAAGGGAAUGUUGUGGCUGGUUUGAUGUUUUAUCCAGACCGCUAACACUUUCUCCCUAUCAGCAAUGAGGCUGUUUUGCUUUCUUAUCAUUCCUGUGUUCACUGGAGUAGCACUUUUAAUUUCCUUCAAGAACUUUUCCUUUGCAUUCAUAACUUGGCUAACUGUUUGGCACAAGAGGCCUGCCUAGCUUUUGGCCUAUCUAAGCUUUUGACUUGCCUUCCUCACUGAGCUUAAUCAUCUCUAGCCUUGGAUUUAACGUGGAAAAUGUGUGACCCUUCCUUUCACUUGAACACUUGGAAGCUAUUGUAGGGUUAUUAACUGGCCUAAUUCAAUAUUAUUGUGUCUCAGGGAACAGGGAGGCCCAGAGAGAGAGAGACGGGAAAACAGAAAGUCAGUGGGGCAGGCAGAACACACACGUUUAUUUAUUAAGUUUGCUGUCAUAUGUUGGUGCAGUUCAUGCUGCCCCAAAACAAUUACAAUAACAAGAUCAAAGAUUCCUGGUCAUAGAUUGCCAUAACAGAUACAGUAAUCACGAAAAAGUUUGAGAUAUUGUGAGAAUUACGCAGAUAUUGUGAGAAAUAUGACCCAGAGACAAGAAGCGAGCACAUGCCGUUAGAAAAAUGGCACCAACAGACUUGCUUGCUGCAGGGUUACACAUACCUUCAAUUUGUAAAAAAAAAAAACUGUAAUAUCUGCAAAACGCAAUAAAGAAAAGUGUAAUAAAAUGCAGUCUGCCUGAACUUCAAUUAUUCCCAUUUUAUAGAAGAGGAAAUAGAUGCAGGGAGUUUGAUCUGCCUGAACUAGUAAAUGGUAGAACUCUGGGACUAACAUUCCUAUCCUCUAUGCUACAUUCCUAGGAAAGAACGCUCAGACAGGGUUGGACUGAGAGUGUGUUAAGCUUUGCACUGUUUUGAGCCCUCUGAAGGAGUGUCCGUAUUUGAAAGCUGGCCUCCUUCCUUUCACUGGCCCUCCACAGUGUGGCCUAAGUUAUUCAAUUAGGAAGGGAAAUAAUUGGCAGUGGAGAAUGCCUCUAGCAGUGGUAAUUACCUCCAGUGCCUUGUAGGAAUAGUCAAGCUACAUUUCAGUUUAUGCUGUAAAACCUUAAUUAUAAUAUAAACAGCUGCCCUUCAGCCCAGUGGGGCAGCCUUCCCCCGCCUUCCUUCUCUGGCCUCUGAAUGGCCCUGCCUCCUGAAUGGUCAGGGAGGUCCAGGGACGGAAGGAGACCUGGGAGGAGGGGAGCCGAUGACUAUGCGUGCGUUGGGGUUUGGAAGACUAAGCUGGAGGGAGCCACUGCCAGGGUCCCAUCUUCAAGUGAUGAAGCCAAAGGCAGCAUCCCCAUUCUUGGUACCACUCACACUGAGUCUCUUGGGGGAGCAGCCUCCAGCCAUUAGCAGUCAGCCCAGUGCCAUUAGGCUAGGAUAGGGUUUAGCAGGCUAUGGUAUCAUUUCAGGGUAACAUCUCUUUCUAUUUACUCCCCUAUAAGGGAGAACAGAGUCUUCCCUUCUAGAUCCAGACUUCCUGGCCAUGUAGGAGCCCUGUUGAGUGCCUGGUGCACUCUAGGUAGUAUGCGAGGCAUGGUUGCAAGGGUUCCCCAUUUCAACUUCACAGCACUUGGAUACACAGAAAAUUAACAUCCUCAUUUGACUAUUGAGGAAAAUGAGACUUUGAAAGUUUAAACGGAGAUAAGGCUUGGGAGGCAGACAGCCCUGUAAGUGACUUAAGUUCAGGAAGGAGAAGGACACUCAAUAUUUUUGUUCAGAGCACUGGGAAGGAGAGAGAGGGAUCAGUCACCAUCGGGCAUUUGAGAAGGUCCAGGAACAGGGGGCUGGUGAGCAGAGGGGGGAAUAACACCAGAGGGGCUGAAAUUGCUGAUUGCUGGGUUCACAGAUCUACCCACGAGCGGCCCAGGUACCCCAUGAGCGGCUGCUCUGUGUCAUCUGACCACUGGAUUGUAACCUGGGCUGAAAGAAUCAGAAGUCAGUGUGGCGAGGCAGGAGUCCUCAGAUGGUCAGAGCUGACUCUUCAACUCUUAAGGGCAAAAUGGAAAAUGUGAGCUUGUUGGUGGUCUUCGAAACACAGUAAGCAAUCCAUGCCCCUGAAGAGCAGGGAUAAUUAUAGGCAUGCCCUUGUUUUAUUGUGCUUUGCAGAUAUUGCAUGUUUUUACAAAUUGAAGAUUUAUGGCAACUCUGCAUACAGCAAAUCUAUUGAUGCCAUCUUUUUCCAAUAUCACAUGCUCACUCUGUGUCUCUGUCUCACAUUUUGGUAGUUCUCCCAAUAUUUCACACCUUAUUAUUAUUAUUAUAUCUGUUAUGAUGAUCUGUGGUCAGGGAUCUUUGAGGUUACUAUUGUAGUUGUUUUGAGGUGCCAUGAACUGCACCCAUGUAAGACAGCGAACAUAAUCAAUAAAUGUUGUGUGUUCUGACUGCUCCACCAACCGACUGUUUCCCUGUCUCUUUCUCUCUCCUCUGGCUCCCUAUUCCCUGAGGCACAAUCAUAUUGAAAUUAGGCCAAAUAAUAACCCUACAAUGGCUUCUAAAGGUUCAAGUAAAAGGAAGAGUCACAUCUCUUACUCUAAAUCAAAAGCUAGAAAUGAUUAAGCUUAGUGAGGAAGGCAUGUGGAAAGCUGAGA